CUUGUCAGAUGCCCGAACCACCUAAACUGGCUACUUUCAAUGUGAAGGAGCAGUGGCUCUACUCUGAGCAGCGAGUAGCCAAUUUCUUAAAGAUGGGAACCACUACCCCGGUCUGCCAAUCCAGGGGUACUGUCCCUGACCUCCACGCAACAUGGUAGAGGCAUGUCAACCAAGACAGGGUCUUUACCUUACAAUAUUCAACCUCUUCAGGUGACUGGUGUUGUGAUUUAGUGCUAUAAAAAUGUAUUUGAAUCGAAUCUUGCUCACUUUAGGGGCCGCUUCCAUCUCACCCAAUCUCUAAAAUCUUCUUCUGUCACACCAACCCUCUGCAUGUCCUCCUUCACUACAUCAGUGAACUUUUUCUGCCUUCUCUAAAUCUUCAGCAUCAGUUUUUCCAACAUAUCCUAUCCUAUAGUAUUCCUCCUCUGGACAUGUCCAAAUCACCUCAACCUGCUCAACCUGAGUUGUCCCCCCUGAUGUACUCAUUUGUAAUCUUCUCCAUCCAUGGUGGCAGUGCCACCAUCUCCAAAUCAUACAUCACAGCAGGUCUCGCUGCCAUCUUGUAAACCUUCCCUUUCUCUCUUGCUGCUGUCACAAAUCACCCUGACACUCAACUCCACCCUCCCUGCACCCUGUUCUUAAACACAUGAAACUUGCACCACUGGAUGAACCAGAUGACUGCAGGUAACAUUUGGACAAAAAGUCUCAUGACUCCAUCUUUAGGGCUUAGUUAAAUUAAAUAUUUAAUAAGUUAAUUUAACAAUUAAAGACAUAUUCAUCCAAAAGACACUCUUAUAAAGUAGAUUAAAUAUAGUGUUGACAUAACAUCUAGAGGUAUGAUUUGUUUUUUUAAAGAGUUAAAUGUUGUAAUUACAUGAACAAAAGUGCUUUAUGGCAUCAGGGUUUUAACACCUUUUACGUUUUUAUAAUUAUUUUAGGUGUAAAAGCUCAAAAUAAUGACAUAAAUAUAUCUGUUCAUGUUAUUAUCACAAUAAUAUUAUUAUUAUUAUGGCAAGUCAAGUUUGGAUUCAUAAAUAUCAUCAAUGAUGUUUCUCCACAGCGGGCUCAUCAAUACCUGGUGAGAAAAGGUCAAUCCAGCUCUGACUUGAGGCUUUUCAAGAAACAGCUCAACUUGAUCUGGUUCCACCUCUACCACAGGCAGAGAAACACAGGCCUGGACUCCAGUGGAUUUGAACAUGUGUUUGUUGGCGAGACAAAAUCAGGAACAGAAAUCAUUGGUUUUCACAACUGGGUCCAGUUCUACCUGCAAGAGAAAAACCAACACUU